rnacentral:rRNA from 1 species
AUGAACGCUGGCGGCGUGCCUAAUACAUGCAAGUCGAGCGAACAGACGAGGAGCUUGCUCCUCUGACGUUAGCGGCGGACGGGUGAAUAACACGUGGAUAACCUACCUAUAAGACUGGGAUAACUUCGGGAAACCGGAGCUAAUACCGGAUAAUAUAUUGAACCGCAUGGUUCAAUAGUGAAAGACGGUUUUGCUGUCACUUAUAGAUGGAUCCGCGCCGCAUUAGCUAGUUGGUAAGGUAACGGCUUACCAAGGCAACGAUGCGUAGCCGACCUGAGAGGGUGAUCGGCCACACUGGAACUGAGACACGGUCCAGACUCCUACGGGAGGCAGCAGUAGGGAAUCUUCCGCAAUGGGCGAAAGCCUGACGGAGCAACGCCGCGUGAGUGAUGAAGGUCUUCGGAUCGUAAAACUCUGUUAUUAGGGAAGAACAAAUGUGUAAGUAACUAUGCACGUCUUGACGGUACCUAAUCAGAAAGCCACGGCUAACUACGUG